CAGUAUAUGAUGAUAUACUGAAUCUGAAACAUACUUCCCAUCCAUUUUGGAGAAUAGCAAACAUUUACAAUCUUACAUUU